CGGAGGGUGCAAGCGUUAUCCGGAUUUAUUGGGUUUAAAGGGUCCGUAGGCGGGCCGAUAAGUCAGUGGUGAAAUCUCGCAGCUUAACUGUGAAACUGCCAUUGAUACUGUCGGUCUUGAGUAAAUUUGAAGUGGCUGGAAUAAGUAGUGUAGCGGUGAAAUGCAUAGAUAUUACUUAGAACACCAAUUGCGAAGGCAGGUCACUAAGAUUUAACUGACGCUGAGGGACGAAAGCGUGGGGAGCGAACAGGAUU
rnacentral:rRNA from 1 species